rnacentral:rRNA from 1 species
UACGGAGGGGGCUAGCGUUGUUCGGAAUUACUGGGCGUAAAGCGCACGUAGGCGGCUUUGUAAGUUAGAGGUGAAAGCCCGGGGCUCAACUCCGGAAUUGCCUUUAAGACUGCAUCGCUAGAAUUGUGGAGAGGUAAGUGGAAUUCCGAGUGUAGAGGUGAAAUGCGCAGAUAUCAGGAGGAACACCGAUGGCGAAGGCAGGUCUCUGGGCCGUAACUGACGC